GUCGCCGAACGACUCAAUAUGUGCGAAGCGAGCAACGAGUUGCAAUCUGUUCGAUCGCCGUUCAUUCAUCUGUUGUCAGCUCCAGGCGUCGCCCGCCCACUGACUGAGAGCCAGACAUCGUCGUCUAUUUUGUCACAUAGUUGCCCCCCAGAGACACACAUGACAUGCCAUUCCCCGAGCCUUGCGUGCUGAUGCCAAACGGGAUCAAACAUUUAGCAAGGACACGGACGAAGUCCAUUUGAGCAGUGGACGGGCGACCAUCAAGAAAUUCGUCACUGAGACUCACAGGACCGCGUUUGAAUUCUGCAAACCUACCUACCUACAAAUAGUCGUCUUGCAUAGUGCUUCAUCGCAAAAACCUGUUUGAAACCAAGCGAAGCCUUGCUGAGCUGUUAAAUUACACUUAAAAUCGUAGAAAAUCAUAGUACGAAAAUUUUUACGAGUUAAAUCCAUGUUGAUGUAGAUAACCAAUUUCUAAAUGA